rnacentral:lncRNA from 1 species
AUUGUCUAAUUUGGAUGCCUCAUAAAACAGAGCCAGGACAAAGAUCUGGUGCAGGUGUUCCACAAAGAAGGCGAACUCAGGAAGCAGGUCAGAGGGAGCAGGUAGAGGCAGCUCAGGAAGGGAAAGAGCAAAUGGGGGAGGGGUUUAUAGCUAAGUGCUGUCGGCCUCUGGGGCUUAAUCCUCCUUGGGCCUGUCCAGGAACUUUGGAAUGUACUCCAGAAUUAUUUCUCCUAAAGACAGGGGAGGAUUUAUCUGUUUCGUUCCCUUUGUGGAGGUUUGCCUCUGCCUCUCUCACUUCCUAGUUGCUCUGAACACAGGUGGAACCAGCUGAAGAGGCUUAGGAAGUCUGGAGCGGCUAAGCACAGGGUUGUGAGAUGUAGUCUUGGAGUCUUACUACAUUACCCAGGCUUGUCUUGAAUUACUGGCCUCAAGUGAUCCUCCCACUUUGGCCUUCUAAAGCAAUGGGAUUACAGGUCACGCCAAAUGCCUAGUCAACCCUAAUGAGAGAACCUAGAUACCUCACCUGCCGAUGCAGCAUUCACUUGCCAUUUUCUUUCUUCUUGGUGGGCGUUUCCGACCAUAGCUGUUUCUAGUUGGCCAUCUUGGCACCCCACCUCUUAAUACUGUCACAAUUACAAUAGAAUUUGAACAUGAGUCUUGAUACGAAUAUUCAAACCAUAACAUCCAGUCUACUGAAGAGGCCAUUAAAGUCACUGACCAUUUGGAAGACCAAGGCGGGAAGAUUACUUGAGGUCAGGAGUUCGAGGCCAGCCUGGCCAACAUGGUGAAACCCUGUCUCUACCAAAAAUACAACACUUAGCCAGGUGUGUUGGCACAUGCCUGUAGUCACAACUACUCGGGAGGCUGAGGCAGGAGAAUCGCUUGAACCCAGAAGGCGGAGGUUGCAGUGAGCAGAGAUGGUGCCACUGCACAACAGCCUUUUUAGACUCUGUCUCAAAAAAAGAAAAAAGAAAAAAGUUACUUAUCAUGAUAGUUCAAGAUGAUGCUUUGUCUUGGAUACUUUUACACAUGUAAAGUCAAAUGAGAGAAUUUAAGUUAUUUGGGGAAUUAUUUUAAAAGCCAUAUUGUUCCCCUUAUCAAAUACUCCUAAAACCUACUAAAACCUAAGUGCCACUUUCUUAGAUUUUCCAGAACACUCUAAGCAUUUAUAACAGUAGUUAGUACAACGUUCUGUAAAUAUUGGUUUAGGGGUUAGUCUCUUCAGUUUAGUAACAUUUCAUUAACCACCAUGAAUGGCAUAGUGUAUAUUUUUCAUUUGUAUUCCAC